rnacentral:rRNA from 1 species
UACGUAGGUGGCAAGCGUUGUCCGGAUUUAUUGGGUUUAAAGGGUGCGUAGGCGGUCUAUUAAGUCAGUGCUGAAAUACUCCAGCUUAACUGGAGGGGUGGCAUUGAUACUGAUGGACUUGAGUACAGAUGAGGUAGGCGGAAUUGACGGUGUAGCGGUGAAAUGCAUAGAUAUCGUCAAGAACACCGAUAGCGAAGGCAGCUUACUGGGCUGUAACUGACGCUGAUGCACGAAAGUAUGGGGGAUCAAACAGG